UGAGGAAUCUUGCGCAAUGGGGGAAACCCUGACGCAGCAACGCCGCGUGAGUGAGGAAGGCCUUCGGGUCGUAAAGCUCUGUCAGAUGGGAAGAAAUGGGUGGGGGCUAAUAUCGUCCAUCCUUGACGGUACCAUCAGAGGAAGCACCGGCUAACUCCGUGCCAGCAGCCGCGGUAAUACGGGGGGUGCAAGCGGUGUUCGGAAUCAUUGGGCGUAAAGCGCGCGCAGGCGGCUUGGUAAGUCAGAUGUGAAAUCCCUGGGCUUAACCCAGGAAGUGCAUUUGAUACUGCCUCGCUAGAGUACGGGGGAGGAAAGUGGAAUUCCUGGUGUAGAGGUGAAAUUCGUAGAUAUCAGGAGGAACACCGGUGGCGAAGGCGACUUUCUGGCCCGAUACUGACGCUCAGGCGCGAAAGCGUGGGGAGC
rnacentral:rRNA from 1 species